rnacentral:rRNA from 1 species
GAUGAACGCUGGCGGCGUGCCUAAUACAUGCAAGUCGAGCGAACGGACCAGGAGCUUGCUUCUCUGGUUUUAGCGGCGGACGGGUGAGUAACACGUGGAUAACCUACCUAUAAGACUGGGAUAACUUCGGGAAACCGUAGCUAAUACCGGAUAAUAUUUUGAACCGCAUGGUUCAAAAGUGAAAGACGGUCUUGCUGUCACUUAUAGAUGGAUCCGCGCUGCAUUAGCUAGUUGGUAAGGUAACGGCUUACCAAGGCAACGAUGCAUAGCCGACCUGAGAGGGUGAUCGGCCACACUGGAACUGAGACACGGCCCAGACUCCUACGGGAGGCAGCAGUAGGGAAUCUUCCGCAAUGGGCGAAAGUCUGACGGAGCAACGCCGCGUGAGUGAUGAAGGUUUUCGGACCGUAAAACUCUGUUAUUAGGGAAGAACAUGUGUGUGAGUAACUGUGCACAUCUUGACGGUACCUAAUCAGAAAGCCACGGCUAACUACGUG